rnacentral:rRNA from 1 species
AUACGUAGGUGGCGAGCGUUGUCCGGAAUUAUUGGGCGUAAAGCGCGCGCAGGCGGGAAAGUAAGUCUACUCUAAAAAGUGCGGGGCUCAACCCCGUGAUGGGGUGGAAACUGCUUUUCUUGAGUGCCGGAGAGGAAAGCGGAAUUCCCAGUGUAGCGGUGAAAUGCGUAGAUAUUGGGAGGAACACCAGUGGCGAAGGCGGCUUUCUGGACGGUGUCUGACGCUGAGGCGCGAAAGCGUGGGGAGC